rnacentral:rRNA from 1 species
GACGAACGCUGGCGGCGUGCUUAACACAUGCAAGUCGAGCGGAAAGGCCACUUCGGUGGUACUCGAGCGGCGAACGGGUGAGUAACACGUGAGUAAUCUGCCCCUGGCUUUGGGAUAGCCACCGGAAACGGUGAUUAAUACCGGAUACGACCACUUCUCGCAUGGGAUGGUGGUGGAAAGUUUUUUCGGCCAGGGAUGUGCUCGCGGCCCAUCAGCUUGAUGGUGAGGUAAUGGCUCACCAUGGCUUCGACGGGUAGCCGGCCUGAGAGGGUGACCGGUCACACUGGGACUGAGACACGGCCCAGACUCCUACGGGAGGCAGCAGUGGGGAAUAUUGGACAAUGGGCGGAAGCCUGAUCCAGCAACGCCGCGUGAGGGAUGACGGCCUUCGGGUUGUGAACCUCUUUCAGCACCGACGAAGCGCAAGUGACGGUAGGUGCAGAAGAAGGACCGGCCAACUACGUGCCAGCCGCCGCGGUAA